rnacentral:rRNA from 1 species
CAGCCGUAAACUAUGCGCGUUAGGUGUACUGGUGACCACGAGUCACCGGGUGCCGAAGGGAAACCGUGAAACGUGCCGCCUGGGAAGUACGGUCGCAAGGCUGAAACUUAAAGGAAUUGGCGGGGGAGCACCACAACGGGAGGAGCGUGCGGUUUAAUUGGAUUCAACACCGUAAACUCACCAGGGAAGACUGUUACAUGAAGGCCGAGAUGAAGACUCUGCUAGAUUUUCAGAGAGGUGGUGCAUGGCGUCAGUGACU